rnacentral:rRNA from 1 species
AGCGGCGGACGGGUGAGUAAUACAUCGGAAUCUACCUUGUAGUGGGGGACAACGUUUCGAAAGGAACGCUAAUACCGCAUACGUCCUACGGGAGAAAGCAGGGGAUCUUCGGACCUCACGCUAUCAGAUGAGCCUAGGUCGGAUUAGCUAGUAGGUGGGUAAAGGCUCACCAAGGCGACGAUCCGUAACUGGUCUGAGAGGAUGAUCAGUCACACUGGAACUGAGACACGGUCCAGACUCCUACGGGAGGCAGCAGUGGGGAAUAUUGGACAAUGGGCGCAAGCCUGAUCCAGCCAUGCCGCGUGUGUGAAGAAGGUCUUCGGAUUGUAAAGCACUUUAAGUUGGAAGGAAGCCAGGAAGUUAAUACCUGGCUGUAUGAC